rnacentral:rRNA from 1 species
AUGGCGUCCCUCUUCAGGGCUCGCCGGCGGCGAUCGCCGGAGGACGAAGGGGACGACGGCGAAGGAUCCGGAUCCGGGCGGGGCAAGCGCCGCCGCCUCUCGCCGGAGGAGGGCGCGCUGGUGCCGGCGGAGGGGGGCAGGAGCCCCGGGUGGCUCUCCACCAUCGUCACCGGGGCCAAGCGGGUCAUAUCCUCCGUGCUCUUCUCCUCGUCCGAGGAGCAGGCCUCCGGGGACGAGGAGGAGGAGGAGGAGGAGGACGGCUCCGAGCAGGACUCCGAUGGAAACGAAGAUACCCGUGAUACUCAUGGAAAAAUAGUUCCUUACAGCGAGUCAAAGCUUGCCAUUGAGGAAAUGGUUUUGAAGGAAACAUUUUCAAGGGAUGAAUGUGAUAAGAUGGUAAAGCUAUUACAGUCACGUGUUACAGAUUCAGCAUUUCCUGAAGCCUAUGAGCAUGGGACACCAAAAGAAACCCCAAGAAGGAAUGGCCAUGAUUUUACUGGAGCUUGGCGUUCCUUGAAUCGCAAUAGAAAUGGCCCUGGGUCAGGUCCAUUUUUUAGUACCGGACCUGGUAACUUUUCUCCUGGCUCUCCUCUCCAAGCAUCACCUGAGCUAUGUAGUGCAGCAGUUAUGGAAGCAAAGAAAUGGUUGGAAGAGAAAAGGCAGGGAUUAGGCUCAAAGCCUGAAGAUCAUGGACCUUGCACAUUGAACACUGAUGUGCUUAAUGCUGACCUCAAAUCUGACAAGGGUUCUCCUGUCGAUUUAGCAAAAUCAUACAUGCAGUCAUUGCCACCAUGGCAGUCCCCUUUAUUAGGCAGUCGGAGAUUUAAAUCUCCACCCUCCGGUGGAGUACAUAUUAAUGAUGAAGAAGGAUCCAAAUACUUCUCAUCAUCGAAGGUCGACACCAAGGAAGACUUCCUUUCCAGUUCCAACUUCUGGGAGAACUUUGAUAUGCGAAGAGAUCACAUUAGAUUUUCUGAAACUGCAGAAGCUUCUAAGUCGAGGCCUCAUGGUUCUACUUCCAGAUUGUUUGAUAAUGGUGUCUCUAUACUCUCGCCAGGUACUCGUGAUGAAGUUGGACAGCCUGUACAGGGUUAUGAAGGUUCUGAUAAAGUUGCUGCAGCAGAACCAGCCAAUGAGUGCUCCUUACCUAUUUCACCAACUAAAGAUGGAAACCAUGGUGCUGUUGAUUCUGUGGAUCCUGCACCGAAUGACAGUGGCAAUCUUGUCCAAGAAUGCCAUGCUGCAUCUGAUGUUCAUCCUGAUGAGGUACCACAGGGGAAUGCAGAUGAGGUACCACAUGGGAACCCUGUGCCUCUCACAAGUGCUACGGAAGAGGCUGCCGACCACAGUGGAGAUAAAUCUGUGCCCGCAGAACCAGAAAUUCACGAAGAAUUGCAUAUGAACUCAACUUCAGCUGCUACUGUUCACGCUUAUGAUGGCUUUGCUGAUUAUGGAACUGUUCCAGAAUCAAGAGCAAAGGAUGCAGCCCCCCAGAUCCGGAUGAGUUUGCGUUCCCUAAAGAAAAAGGUCCACACGAGUUUAAAUGCGCCUACCAAGAAAAUCUCCGCCAACGGUCUUUUGGAUCGGUCAGACGGCAACUCAGGGAUAGAAUCCUCGGGCAAUGAUAAUCCCAGCUGCACUAACUCGAGCAGUGCUGUGCCUCCCAACAAUAAUGAGUUGAUCAACUCUGCAGCUGAUGCUUCAGCUGAUAACUCCGUCGAUAAUGGCGCGAGAACGGUUUCAGAGAAACAGGCGGAUGGUAAGUCUGUCGAAAACGGCGCUGGGAAGGAUUCAGUUGAACCAGUAAAGGAAGACCCUAAGCCAACUUACGUCAGACGUGGCCGGAAAAGGGCUGCUCGGAGGGCAUCAUGA